GGGUGCAAUCAUACCAGCACUAAUGCACCGGAUCCCAACAGAACUCCGAAGUUAAACGUGCUUGGGCGAGAGUAGUACUAAGAUGGGUGACCUCUUGGGAAGUCCUUGUGUUGCACCCC
rnacentral:rRNA from 1 species